GUCUACGGCCAUACCACCCUGAACGCGCCCGAUCUUGUCUGAUCUCGGAAGCUAAGCAGGGUCGGGCCUGGUUAGUACUUGGAUGGGAGAAGGUAAAUCACAUGAAACACAUCAGGUGCAUUUU
rfam:Mustela putorius furo unplaced genomic scaffold scaffold00129, whole genome shotgun sequence.